CAGUCGCCGCGGUAAUACAGAGGGUGCGAGCGUUAAUCGGAUUUACUGGGCGUAAAGCGUGCGUAGGCGGCUUUUUAAGUCGGAUGUGAAAUCCAUGAGCUUAACUUAGGAAUUGCAUUCGAUACUGGGAAGCUAGAGUAUGGGAGAGGAUGGUAGAAUUCCAGGUGUAGCGGUGAAAUGCGUAGAGAUCUGGAGGAAUACCGAUGGCGAAGGCAGCCAUCUGGCCUAAUACUGACGCUGAGGUACGAAAGCAUGGGGAGCAAACAGGAUUAGAUACCCCCGUAGUCCCUGUCUCUUAUAA
rnacentral:rRNA from 1 species